rnacentral:rRNA from 1 species
GAUGAACGCUAGCGGCAGGCUUAACACAUGCAAGUCGAGGGGUAUUGGUUUUCGGACCAAGAGACCGGCGCACGGGUGCGUAACGCGUAUGCAAUCUACCUUUUGCAGAGGGAUAGCCCCAGAGAAAUUUGGAUUAAUACCUCAUAGUAUAGUACUUUGGCAUCAAGGAACUAUUAAAGUCACAACGGCAAAGAUGAGCAUGCGUCCCAUUAGCUAGUUGGUAAGGUAACGGCUUACCAAGGCUACGAUGGGUAGGGGUCCUGAGAGGGAGAUCCCCCACACUGGUACUGAGACACGGACCAGACUCCUACGGGAGGCAGCAGUGAGGAAUAUUGGACAAUGGGCGCAAGCCUGAUCCAGCCAUGCCGCGUGCAGGAUGACGGUCCUAUGGAUUGUAAACUGCUUUUAUACAGGAAGAAACACUCCGACGUGUCGGAGCUUGACGGUACUGUAAGAAUAAGGAUCGGCUAACUCCGUGCCAGCAG